UAGGAGCAAGUUUAGUAUGUUUAUACUACACUGACGCCGUUGUCCCCGCUGACUGUGAUACAGUCAUACAGUGUGGAUCUCAUGAGCGUUGUUAUGUUGAUGCUUAUGUCAGUGCAACGGGAAGUUUAAGAUAUAAUCUUGGCUGUCGGGACGGAAAUCAAUGUACCGGACCAUCGAAUCUUGGAAAACGUGAGGCAUUUAAUCAGCUGACAGAUAUGUUAGAUUCAAUGCUAACAGAUAAGUUAGAUGCGGUGCUGGGAACGAAUGAAGAAUUGUCCCGAAAAAGCACCCAGUGGUUUUCCUAAUACGGAUGCAGAAACACGCGAGGUAUCAAAAAUAAGAGCAGGUGGAUUUCUUGUAUGCAGUGAAUGUUGCACUGGAAACUUAUGCAGUAAUGCUGGGUGUGGAAAUAAAGGUUAUAUUUCUCCCAGAGGACCAAUUUGCUACCACUGUGCAGAGCAGCUUAGUCAAGAUGACUGCAGCAAAAUAAGUUUGUGCGGUCAAGAUGAGGUCUGUAUGCUGCAGAAAACAUUGAAUACAAUGACACAUGAAGUGAGAU